GCCCAGGUGGCGAAAUUGGUAGACGCAGGGGACUCAAAAUCCCCCGCCGCAAGGUGUGUCGGUUCGAGUCCGACCCUGGGCACCA
rnacentral:tRNA from 379 species